CGGAGUUUCUUUAUUCUCACUCAGGGACUAUGGUGAAAGACACUGUAGUCCAUUGGCUCGUGUUAAGCCAUGACAGGAGUGCAAUGAAACGGUCGAGUUUCAUAUUUAUGUUAACAAAGUGAUGCUCAUUAUCACCAUCGCCCUUGUAUUCCUGCAAUCUCUUCCACCAUUAGUCAAACCUGCAAAUAACAGUCAAGAAAAGAGAAGAAUAUGGAAGCAUCCAGAGGCAGAGCUUCAGAGAGCCGCCUUACUGACUUCCCCAAGCUAAUACUGUUGGGUUCUUGCUUNN
rnacentral:lncRNA from 1 species